rnacentral:rRNA from 1 species
CACGNGUAGCAGUGAAAUGCGUAGAGAUGUGGAGGAAUACCGAUGGCGAAGGCAGCCUCCUGGGAUAAUACUGACGUUCAUGCUNGAAAGCGUGGGUAGCAAACAGGAUUAGAUACCCUGGUAGUCCACGCCCUAAACGAUGUCAAUUAGCUGUUGGGCAACAUGAUUGCUUAGUAGCGUAGCUAACGCGUGAAAUUGACCGCCUGGGGAGUACGGUCGCAAGAUUAAAACUCAAAGGAAUUGACGGGGACCCGCACAAGCGGUGGAUGAUGUGGAUUAAUUCGAUGCAACGCGAAGAACCUUACCUGGUCUUGACAUGUACGGAAUCUUCCAGAGACGGAAGAGUGCCUUCGGGAGCCGUAACACAGGUGCUGCAUGGCUGUCGUCAGCUCGUGUCGUGAGAUGUUGGGUUAANNNNNNCAACGAGCGCAACCCUUGUCAUUAGUUGCCACCAUUCAGUUGGGCACUCUAAUGAGACUGCCGGUGACAAACCGGAGGAAGGUGGGGAUGACGUCAAGUCCUCAUGGCCCUUAUGACCAGGGCUUCACACGUCAUACAAUGGUCGGUACAGAGGGUAGCCAAGCCGCGAGGUGGAGCCAAUCUCAGAAAACCGAUCGUAGUCCGGAUUGCACUCUGCAACUCGAGUGCAUGAAGUCGGAAUCGCUGGUAAUCGCAGGUCAGCAUACUGCGGUGAAUACGUUCCCGGGUCU